rnacentral:rRNA from 1 species
CGGCAACAGCUCAAAUUUGAAAUCUGGCCCUCGGGUCCGAGUUGUAAUUUGUAGAGGAUGCUUUUGGUGCGGUGCCUUCCGAGUUCCCUGGAACGGGACGCCAUAGAGGGUGAGAGCCCCGUCUGGUUGGACACCAAGCCUCUGUAAAGCUCCUUCGACGAGUCGAGUAGUUUGGGAAUGCUGCUCUAAAUGGGAGGUAUAUGUCUUCUAAAGCUAAAUACCGGCCAGAGACCGAUAGCGCACAAGUAGAGUGAUCGAAAGAUGAAAAGCACUUUGAAAAGAGAGUUAAAUAGUACGUGAAAUUGUUGAAAGGGAAGCGCUUGUGACCAGACUUGGGCUUGGUUAAUCAUCCAGGGUUCUCCCUGGUGCACUUGGCCGGCCCAGGCCAGCAUCAGUUUGCCGCGGGGGAUAAAGGCGUCGGGAAUGUGGCUCCCUCGGGAGUGUUAUAGCCCGGCGUGCAAUACCCUGCGGCGGACUGAGGUUCGCGCAUCUGCAAGGAUGCUGGCGUAAUGGUCAUCAGCGACCCGUCUUGAAACACGGACCAAGGAGUCGUCUUCGUAUGCGAGUGUUCGGGUGUCAAACCCCUACGCGUAAUGAAAGUGAACGCAGGUGAGAGCUUCGGCGCAUCAUCGACCGAUCCUGAUGUUCUCGGAUGGAUUUGAGUAAGAGCAUACGGGGCCGGACCCGAAAGAAGGUGAACUAUGCCUGUAUAGGGUGAAGCCAGAGGAAACUCUGGUGGAGGCUCGCAGCGGUUCUGACGUGCAAAUCGAUCGUCAAAUAUGGGCAUGGGGGCGAA